UAGAGUUUGAUCCUGGCUCAGAUUGAACGCUGGCGGCAGGCCUAACACAUGCAAGUCGAGCGGCAGCGGGAGGAAGCUUGCUUCCUCGCCGGCGAGCGGCGGACGGGUGAGUAAUGUCUGGGGAUCUGCCCGAUGGAGGGGGAUAACCACUGGAAACGGUGGCUAAUACCGCAUAACGUCGCAAGACCAAAGUGGGGGACCUUCGGGCCUCACACCAUCGGAUGAACCCAGAUGGGAUUAGCUAGUAGGUGGGGUAAUGGCUCACCUAGGCGACGAUCCCUAGCUGGUCUGAGAGGAUGACCAGCCACACUGGAACUGAGACACGGUCCAGACUCCUACGGGAGGCAGCAGUGGGGAAUAUUGCACAAUGGGCGCAAGCCUGAUGCAGCCAUGCCGCGUGUGUGAAGAAGGCCUUCGGGUUGUAAAGCACUUUCAGCGAGGAGGAAGGUGGUGAACUUAAUACGUUCAUCAAUUGACGUUACUCGCAGAAGAAGCACCGGCUAACUCCGUGCCAGCAGCCGCGGUAAUACGGAGGGUGCAAGCGUUAAUCGGAAUUACUGGGCGUAAAGCGCACGCAGGCGGUUUGUUAAGUCAGAUGUGAAAUCCCCGAGCUUAACUUGGGAACUGCAUUUGAAACUGGCAAGCUAGAGUCUCGUAGAGGGGGGUAGAAUUCCAGGUGUAGCGGUGAAAUGCGUAGAGAUCUGGGAGGAAUACCGGGUGGCGAAGGCGGCCCCCUGGACGAGACUGACGCUCAGUGCGAAAGCGUGGGGAGCAAAC
rnacentral:rRNA from 1 species